CGGUCACUCUGCAGAAUGUUCUUCUCUCUCUGCAGGCUUUACUCUCUAGACCUGCACCUUAUGGUCCCCAAGCCGAUAAAACGGUUUCUGAUCAGGUAUAUGAUGAAUUCAUUUUUAUGCUCAGAUAAAGCUCUGGAAGUGAGGACUAUCUUAUCUAGUUGGAGAUAACCCCCUAAAAAAAUAUUUUCGCAACGUAGAAGGCAUGGUUUCAAUGGAAGAAGAUGGCAUUCUAGAUCUGAGAGGAAGAAUGAUGCGAGAUUGAUAUUUUGAGGGGCUCACUAAAGUCAAAAAUCAAAGACUUCGGCAGAUUUAUCUCUCUCUAAGUUUAAGAUUUUCUGUAUGAAAUUGAUUGUAAUAGACUUUGUUGGUGAAGAUUUUCUAGAUGAAAUUGAUUGUCAUAUACUUUGUUGGCUAAGAUUUUCUAUAUGAAAUUGAUUGUAAUAGAACUUGUGACUAGAAAUGGAUUAUACUUUUUAUUAGGAAUAUCAUGACAUUUACUUUA